rnacentral:lncRNA from 10 species
UUAGAAUGGCAUUUCAUGCCUAAACGAGUGGGAAUGUUGAAAGAUAAACUGUUUUCAUUGCUGUUUGUUUGGUCUGAAUCAUCUGGGAAACAUGCUAAUUCUACUUUUUCCCCAGCUAUUACCCCUGUAUGCACACAAGUUGAACCUAACGGCAUUAAAAGAAAAGGACAAGCUGUGAAAUGCCUAGAUUCCAGAGCAACAGACUGUGAUCCAUUCCCAACAACCCCUCCCUACCGUCUGCCACCAGUUCCCUUAAAGCAGGAAUCAGAGCUAGACUGACUCAACUAAGGCAAGAAGCUUGACAUAGCAUCGAUGAGCCCAAGUCAACUAUAUGAACAAAACAAUGUCUCAGGAGGGGCAGGGUAUCACGUCAGAAGAAUCCUGAGUCCUUAGAUGACCUUGUAGAAAAGAGCCACAAACUUAC